AGCAGCCGCCACGGUAAUGCGAAGGGGGCUAGCGUUGCUCGGAAUCACUGGGCGUAAAGGGUGCGUAGGCGGGUCUUUAAGUCAGGGGUGAAAUCCUGGAGCUCAACUCCAGAACUGCCUUUGAUACUGAAGAUCUUGAGUUCGGGAGAGGUGAGUGGAACUGCGAGUGUAGAGGUGGAAUUCGUAGAUAUUCGCAAGAACACCAGUGGCGAAGGCGGCUCACUGGCCCGAUACUGACGCUGAGGCACGAAAGCGUGGGGAGCAAACAGGAUUAGAUACCCCCGUAGUCCCUGUCUCUUAUAC
rnacentral:rRNA from 1 species